ensembl:lncRNA
CGUGGCGGCCCUGACACAUGUCGAGCGGCGUGCAGCCAACCCACGGACGAGCACGAGUCGCUCCUGCAUAAUUUGAAGUCAUCCAUGGCAGUGCUUUGAGAAUCCUUCCCCGCGUUCCCCAUGACUUGAACGGAGCAUCGCUCAGCGCCGUGAUGGCUCUAUUCAUACUCAGACAGAAGCCCUGCUGGCCUGAGGGUCACAUGAGGACCUCUCCAUGACCCCUGACCACAGUUUGAACCAAGACCCUACAGUUCAUCCAUAUCUGCGGCUGUAGAGAAGGUCACUGCAGAGUUCAAAGACAUAACACGCAGAAUGAGGUUUGUAAUUAAAAUGUGAAAAGUUUGUUAAAUCAGAGUUUGCGAAUAAUUAGUUAUAAUAAUAAUCAGCUGCUUUACAAAA